CAGCAGCCGCGGUAAUACCGGCGGCCCGAGUGGCGGUCACUAUUAUUGGGCUUAAAGCGUCCGUAGCCGGGUUGGGAAAUCCUCCGGGAAAUCUGGCCGCUUAACGGUCAGAAUGCCGGAGGAUACUCCCAGCCUAGGGAGCGGGAGAGGCCGAGGGGAUUCCCGGAGUAGGGGGGAAAUCCUAUAAUCCCGGGAGGACCACCUGUGGCGAAGGCGCUCGGCUGGAACGCGUCCGACGGUGAGGGACGAAGGCCAGGGGAGCAAACCGGAUUAGAUACCCGGGUAGUCCUGGCUGUAAACGAUGCGGACUUUGUGUCGGACAAGCUAUGAGCUUGUCCGGUGCCGGAGGGAAACCGUUAAGUCCGCCGCCUGGGGAGUACGGCCGCAAGGCUGAAACUUAAAGGAAUUGGCGGG
rnacentral:rRNA from 1 species